UGCGUAGGCGGAAUAUUAAGUCAGAGGUGAAAUCCCACAGCUCAACUGUGGAACUGCCUUUGAUACUGGUUGUCUUGAGUUAUAGUGAAGUAGAUAGAAUAUGUAGUGUAGCGGUGAAAUGCAUAGAUAUUACAUAGAAUACCGAUUGCGAAGGCAGUCUACUAACUGUAUACUGACGCUAAUGGACGAAAGCGUGGGGAGCGAACAGGAUUAGAUACCCUGGUAGUCC
rnacentral:rRNA from 1 species